AGACCCGAAACCCGGUGAUCUAGCCAUGGGCAGGUUGAAGGUUGGGUAACACUAACUGGAGGACCGAACCGACUAAUGUUGAAAAAUUAGCGGAUGACCUGUGGCUGGGGGUGAAAGGCCAAUCAAACCGGGAGAUAGCUGGUUCUCCCCGAAAGCUAUUUAGGUAGCGCCUCGUGAAUUCAUCUCCGGGGGUAGAGCACUGUUUCGGCUAGGGGGCCAUCCCGGCUUACCAACCCGAUGCAAACUGCGAAUACCGGAGAAUGUUAUCACGGGAGACACACGGCGGGUGCUAACGUCCGUCGUGAAGAGGGAAACAACCCAGACCGCCAGCUAAGGUCCCAAAGUCAUGGUUAAGUGGGAAACGAUGUGGGAAGGCCCAGACAGCCAGGAUGUUGGCUUAGAAGCAGCCAUCAUUUAAAGAAAGCGUAAUAGCUCACUGGUCGAGUCGGCCUGCGCGGAAGAUGUAACGGGGCUAAACCAUGCACCGAAGCUGCGGCAGCGAACGUAUCACUUAAAGCGAUUCAGCGGGUUACGAUUGACGGAGCGAAGCGACGUCAAAGCGUAUACAAAGUCGAGUCGGUUUAAGGAUACGUUCGUUGGGUAGGGGAGCGUUCUGUAAGCCCGUGAAGGUGGCCUGUGAGGGUUGCUGGAGGUAUCAGAAGUGCGAAUGCUGACAUAAGUAACGAUAAAGCGGGUGA
rnacentral:rRNA from 1 species